GAUGAACGCUGGCGGCGUGCUUAACACAUGCAAGUCGAACGGACGGCGAAGAGCUUGCUCUUCAAAGUUAGUGGCGGACGGGUGAGUAACGCGUGGGUAACCUGCCCUAUGCAGGGGGAUAACGUUUGGAAACGAACGCUAAUACCGCAUAACCUAGUUGGUUCGCAUGAACUGGAUAGCAAAGAUUUUAUCGGCAUAGGAUGGACCCGCGUUGGAUUAGCUAGUUGGUGAGAUAAAAGCUCACCAAGGCGACGAUCCAUAGCCGGCCUGAGAGGGUGAACGGCCACACUGGGACUGAGACACGGCCCAGACUCCUACGGGAGGCAGCAGUGGGGAAUAUUGCACAAUGGGCGCAAGCCUGAUGCAGCGACGCCGCGUGAAGGAUGAAGGUUUUCGGAUCGUAAACUUCUAUCAGCAGGGAGGAACCAAAUGACGGUACCUGACUAAGAAGCCCCGGCUAACUACGUGCCAGCCGCCGCGGUAAUAC
rnacentral:rRNA from 1 species